GCUCUGUGGAAAAUUCCAGAUUCUCUCAUCUCUCACCUUUUGCCUUCUCUGUCUCCUCCUACUUCCGUCUGCAGCGUCGCUGGCGUGUGAGUGUGCGAGAAUUUCAUCCGAUGCUUCUCUGCUAACCUUUGCCGAUGUGGGUGUUUCUUAUUCGUGUGGUCACCGUUGUUGCUUUGUCUACCAUGGCUGUGUGUAGCCUGUAGCCUCCCUCAUCUUCCUCUGUCUCUCAUCAUCGAAGCCUCUUCCUUCUGAUCUGUUCUAGUAACUACAAGGGUGAGUCAGAAAUCUCCUCCUUUCCUGCAACGCGACAUUACCGUUCACUGCCAUAGAGAGCUUUGAACCUCCUUUCUCUUCCCUCAUUUAUUUCAUUUUUGGGUGCCGAAGAACAAGGGAGACGUGGCUGUUGUUCUAGGAGUUUGAUUCUGAAACUUUCUCCUUCUUUUAUGCUGUAAACUUCGUUCCCUUUCUGCUACUGUAAAUUGAGAUAGUGUAGCUGACAUUGAAUCAUCCGCCAAAUAUUGAGGAGUCUAUUACUGACUAAAGGUGGACGAGUUAAGGAUUAAGUAUUCUUUUGAUGUAAUAUUUUAAAUUAUGAAUUUUAUUUUGUAAGCUUAGUUUAGGUGCUCCACAUAAUCUAUUGCUAGAACCUUUAUUUUGUCAUAUAUUUUUGCUUGGUGGUUGGAAGGAGUUGAAUUCUUGAUUAACAUGACAUUUGGUGAAAAAUAUUGAGUUGUAGAGUUUUCGGGA